rnacentral:rRNA from 1 species
UACGAAGGGGGCUAGCGUUGCUCGGAAUCACUGGGCGUAAAGGGUGCGUAGGCGGGUCUUUAAGUCAGGGGUGAAAUCCUGGAGCUCAACUCCAGAACUGCCUUUGAUACUGAAGAUCUUGAGUUCGGGAGAGGUGAGUGGAACUGCGAGUGUAGAGGUGAAAUUCGUAGAUAUUCGGAAGAACACCAGUGGCGAAGGCGGCUCACUGGCCCGGUACUGACGCUGAGGUGCGAAAGCGUGGGGAGCAAACAGGG